rnacentral:rRNA from 1 species
GACGAACGCUGGCGGCGUGCUUAACACAUGCCAGUCGAACGGAAAGGCCCUGCUUUUGUGGGGUGCUCGAGUGGCGAACGGGUGAGUAACACGUGAGUAACCUGCCCUUGACUUUGGGAUAACUUCAGGAAACUGGGGCUAAUACCGGAUAGGAGCUCCUGCUGCAUGGUGGGGGUUGGAAAGUUUCGGCGGUUGGGGAUGGACUCGCGGCUUAUCAGCUUGUUGGUGGGGUAGUGGCUUACCAAGGCUUUGACGGGUAGCCGGCCUGAGAGGGUGACCGGCCACAUUGGGACUGAGAUACGGCCCAGACUCCUACGGGAGGCAGCAGUGGGGAAUAUUGCACAAUGGGCGGAAGCCUGAUGCAGCAACGCCGCGUGCGGGAUGACGGCCUUCGGGUUGCAAACCGCUUUCGCCUGUGACGAAGCGUGAGUGACGGUAAUGGGUAAAGAAGCACCGGCUAACUACGUG